GUAUUGUCUUAAUGGAGAGUGAGUUGGAAGAUCUGCGAAGGCAGGUUCAGUCCUUGCAGUCAGAGAAUGAGAAGUUGCAGCAUCAAGCUAGUUCUGCAGCAGGGCCCUCGGUUAGUAUUAGCUCGGCCUCUGAUACACAUGCUCGUGGUGUGGUGGAUGCCCCCAGGCCCAUGGCAGAGCGUGUCAUUCUUGUCCCUAGAGAAAGACGAUGUUCCAUUUUUAGUGGAAGGGACGAUGAGGAGGUGUUUGAAUGGGUGGAGGAGAUUAAGAGUAAUUUAAGGGCUCGAAAUUUAUCAGCAAGGGAGGAAGCUCUAUUUAUUCUUGACCAUCUAGGAGGAUCUGCUAGAAGUGAAAUUAAGUUUAGACCAAGGGAGGAGAGGGAGGAUCCAGAAAAGGUGUUUUCUGUGUUAAGGGAGUUAUAUGGGUGUGCGCACUCGUAUAUUUCCCUUCAGAAGCAGUUUUUCUCCCGUAAACAGGAAGAGGGGGAGUCCUUGCAAGACUUCUCACAUGCCCUUUUUGCUUUGAUGGAGAAGGUGGUACAAGGCGCUCCAGAUGGCGUGCCUAACUCCGCUUCUUUAGUCAGGGAUCAGUUUGUAGAACACGUGAUUGAUAACAGUUUAUGCCGUGAGCUUAAGCGUUAUGUCCGGCUCCAUCCACAGUCUACCAUCUUAGAGGUAAGGAAAGAGGCGAUUAGGUGGGUUGAUGAGGGUUUUCGCCCUGAUACACGGGAAAGAAGUUACUCCGUUCCAUCUCUUGCUACUCAGUAUAGAGUCGAAGGGCAUAAUUUACCCUCCCGAGAUCGAGAGAAUCAAUCAGAGUUGGUUGAACUUAAAGAGAUGUUGAAGGCCCAACAAGAGCAACUUAAUCAACUCACCCAAGGGUUACAGCAACUGCAGUCACAGUAUGUUUUUAAUCAGUUUAGGCGAGUUAACCCUAUUAUUUGCAGACGUUGUAACCAACCCGGCCAUAUUGCCCGAAAUUGUGUUUUGGAUUUUCGUAGACCUACAGAACGGCAGGCAUCUUUGUCACAGCCAGGUAGCUCUCUGAAUCCUAGUAGGCCGACGGAAAACUUCAACCCCCUGAAUUGAUGAGCCACACUUCAGGAGGGGAAAACGUUGGCUCACAGUCCUCUGAAUCAGGUGGGAACCAGGCCCUUUUUAAAUUAUUAGGUAAUUGUCCUUCUGUCACUAUUACUAUGGGUGGGGUAGAGGUUUCCUGUUUAUUGGACACUGGGUCGAUGGUAACCACUAUUUCAGAGAGGUUCUUUUUCCAGCAUUUCGAGCCUUGGGGUAAAGAAAAGUUGCUUAGUUGUGGGUGGCUACAGUUGCGGGCUGCAAAUGGCUUAGAUAUACCUUAUUUGGGUUACUUGGAGUUAGAUUUUGUUGUUCUUGGGAAGAGAAUUCCGAGUAAGGGGGUACUCGUGGUGAAAGAGCUGUCCCACUCUUCCUUGCCGGGUGGGUUCCCUGGGUUGUUGGGCAUGAACGUUAUUCAGGAGUGUUAUAGGGAGUUGUUUAGUCAACAUGGUCAUAAGCUUUUUGACCUUCCCACCGUGAAGGAGACUCCUGCAUGGCUUUCUGCCCUACAGUAUUGUAAGAAGACUGAAACUG
ensembl:lncRNA